CCAUGUUGAUGUUAACUCACUAUGACAAUCGGGUUCUCCUUUCAGAAAUUACUCGCAGCGCCGUGUUACGUUUCACCUCCCCGACGGCUCCCAGGAAAGCUGCAGUGACAGUGGUCUGGGAGACCACGAGCCGGUGGGUAGUGGAACCCUGAUCUCACACCCUCUUCCUCUGGUUCAGCCACAGGACGAAUUCUAUGACCAGGCCUCUCCAGACAAGCGGACCGAAGCAGACGGCAACUCUGACCCCAACUCCGGUGAGUCUUUUAAAAAUUUUGACCCUUUGGAGUUGUGGUUUCGUUGCACAGGUGAGCAUUAAACAGUGAUAUGAG
rnacentral:lncRNA from 1 species